rnacentral:rRNA from 1 species
GAUGAACGCUGGCGGCGUGCCUAAUACAUGCAAGUCGAGCGAACAGACGAGGAGCUUGCUCCUCUGACGUUAGCGGCGGACGGGUGAGUAACACGUGGAUAACCUACCUAUAAGACUGGGAUACUUCGGGAAACCGGAGCUAAUACCGGAUAAUAUAUUGAACCGCAUGGUUCAAUAGUGAAAGACGGUUUUGCUGUCACUUAUAGAUGGAUCCGCGCCGCAUUAGCUAGUUGGUAAGGUAACGGCUUACCAAGGCAACGAUGCGUAGCCGACCUGAGAGGAUGAUCGGCCACACUGGAACUGAGACACGGUCCAGACUCCUACGGGAGGCAGCAGUAGGGAAUCUUCCGCAAUGGGCGAAAGCCUGACGGAGCAACGCCGCGUGAGUGAUGAAGGUCUUCGGAUCGUAAAACUCUGUUAUUAGGGAAGAACAAAUGUGUAAGUAACUAUGCACGUCUUGACGGUACCUAAUCAGAAAGCCACGGCUAACUACGUG